GCCGGGCGUGGUGGCGCGCGCCUGUAGUCCCAGCUACUCGGGAGGCUGAGGUGGGAGGAUCGCUUGAGCCCAAGAGUUCUGGGCUGUAGUGCACUAUGCCGAUCGGGUGUCCGCACUAAGUUCGGCAUCAAUAUGGUGACCUCCAGGGAGCGGGGGACCACCCGGUUGCCUAAGGAGGGGUGAACUGGCCCAGCUCGGAAACAGAGCAGGUCAAAACUCCCUUGCUGAUCAGUAGUGGGAUCGUGCUGCACUCCAGCCUGGACAACAUAGCAAGACCCCAUCUCUU
ensembl:misc_RNA Metazoa_SRP Metazoan signal recognition particle RNA